UGGGGAAUCUUCCGCAAUGGACGAAAGUCUGACGGAGCAACGCCGCGUGAGUGAAGACGGCCUUCGGGUUGUAAAGCUCUGUGAUCCGGGACGAAAGAGCCUGAGGUAAAUAGCCUAAGGAAGUGACGGUACCGGAAAAGCCAGCCACGGCUAACUACGUGCCAGCAGCCGCGGUAAUACGUAGGUGGCAAGCGUUGUCCGGAAUUAUUGGGCGUAAAGCGCGCGCAGGCGGCUUCCUAAGUCCAUCUUAAAAGUGCGGGGCUUAACCCCGUGAUGGGAUGGAAACUGGGAAGCUGGGGUAUCGGAGAGGAAAGUGGAAUUCCUAGUGUAGCGGUGAAAUGCGUAGAGAUUAGGAAGAACACCGGUGGCGAAGGCGACUUUCUGGACGAAACCUGACGCUGAGGCGCGAAAGCGUGGGGAGCAAACAGG
rnacentral:rRNA from 1 species